CUUCCUCGAAUUUGGGACUUAUGUUUUGACUGAGUGUGACCAAAUAAAUCCAUCCAGAAAUUAUUUAUUAACCAUCCAUCAUGUGUGAAGACACUGUAAAGGAAUAAAAAACCAAGAUAAUCUACACAGUGCUCCUUUAAUAUUUUCCUGCAAUUAUCCUGCUAUAGUGGAAACUGCACUAUUUAACCUCAACCAGCUUGAAAUGGACUUUUAAACUUUGGUACAGAUCCUUUCUAUUUGUUCUUAAUCUCCAUUUCCAGUAGGUCAGUUAGUGAAUUUAUGGUGGAGUGUUGGAUCUGGGGGCAAAAUCUUCAUUUAACAUACCUGCUCUAUACCCGGCAUUGUAAUAGCGGCUAUGCAGAUGAUGAAAAUUAAGGGUUGAGGCCUUUUCCCUGAAUGAUGUUAACCGUAUAGUCAGAGGUUUUAAGGACUCGGAGCUAAAACAAAAUCAACCAAACAAAAUGAGAAGCAAUAAGUCUGAAAGGGAACAACUUUUCCAACGUGCGGCCUUAUUGGUAUUGAAAUAUUCGAUGACUAACACAGAUCUUACCUUCUUUACAUCAAGGGAUGGUUUAUUCAGAUCAAUAAACCCACACAUUUACAGAAAUGAUUUGCACAGCAAAUAUGAAAGACAGCUCCUUAAACAGCACCUAUUGUGGUGAUUGCAACUGGUCCAUUAAGAACCUCUGGGUGUGCACAUCAGUCAUUUCUAAAGUGUUGCUGUUAAAAAGGAGUCACGAGCUAAUGCCUCCUGAGAUGGAGUGUGCUUGACCUUGUCUGGGUUCAGGCAUUCGCUCAGAGGGAGACAUGUUGCAUUUAGGUAACUGCAGGUGAGGUCUAUGUUAUGACCAGAAAAGCUGUUAUAAAAGAGACCAUUUUUUUCUCUGAGGUCCGAUAUUUUCAUGCGCUGAUUUUUGAAUAAGGUAGGGAGUCUGUUGCUUUUUCUCUUCUGUGGUUUAGCUGACAUUUCUAGUGAAGCCCUGAGAACUAUAUAGGCUUUAGCAAUGAUAAUAUUUUGUGUUUCUCAUGUCAGAAUUUUAAAGCAUUUUAUUAAGAACAUGAGUGCCCUCACUGGGUGAAAAUGAAGAGCAGGUUAGUCAUAAAUCCAAGGGAGGGUACUGCUCACUGGUUCACACUGCUCUCAUUCAGUUUUAUGAUCUCCUGUGCUAGACAUAUGGCAGCAUAAUGGUGUCAGGGACUCUCCUUUCAUUGUCCUCUUCCUCAAGACAAUGUGGCCUCCAUUUACAGUGUUUAUGAAGUGGGAUGAGUCUCUGGGGAUGCAGGUUCUUUGUUUAAUUACAGAGCCAGAGGGUUGUCUGUCUUCUCUGUUGUUGCCUCCAGAUGCAUCGUUGAAAGACCUUCACGACUGUAGGCAUUUUCCUUCAUGAACACACACGUCACCAGGCAGAGCCCCCUGGCAGGUAUUGGACAUUCCGGGACCAGCAUCUCCUAUCUCUACACGAAGUGUCUUAAAGAUGACAUGACAUCAGAUUUUCUUCCUUAUGUUAGAACUUUGAAGGUUGGAGGUGUGAAAUCUGGCUUCCCCUAAGGCUCUCGUGUGAGUCUGAGUGUUGGUUUCACAAGCCAUCUAUGAAAAGGGUGUAUGAACAGACUGUACAGAUGCUCCGUCUAGCUUCGUUGUGCCAAAGAAAUUGAGGGUACUUCUGCCACCAGGUUUUCUAUUUUAAGACAGCUUACAUAUUUUUGCUGGUUUAAUUUUUUCAAGAUAUUUUGUUGUUGAUAAAUGACCCAAACCCUGUGGUCAGUGAGAUGAAAAAUGGCUCACGUAUUCCUUUUUAGCCAGACAUCUCAGAUGUGUGAAAGACAUGAAAUCCUCAAUGAAGUCAUAUUUUCACGUGGUAAAACAUUUUAAAAUUUGAUUUGAAUAUUGAAAAUAAAUGAGAUUAAUAUCUUAGUCUUUAAAAUGUCUUAAUUUAAAUGAAAUUGACUCACCUCUCCUCUCCUCUCCCCCAGCUCCCUCUCCUAGGGAUCACAUGCCAAUGAGACCCUGGCUCCCUGGACCACACAGUUUGAGAUGCUGAUGUACCACAGUGAGACUAGUAUAAGGGCACAUGUCUGGCCCUCUGUAAUUCUGGGAUCCAAGUCCCAUCAGUUUCCCCUUCUCUUUUUGGGCAUUUUCGGUGUUUAAGAUCACUCAUGAGCUAGCCCUCAACUUGUUUGUGACUCUCAACAUUUUCCUCCCUAUGGUUUUCUUUCUUGUGCCUUCUCUGUCACAUAUGUGGGUUGGACCUGCCUGCUGUUCUGGCCCUGUGUCCCUUCUUUACCUCAGUAGGUUCCAACAGUCACCCCCAAGAGAGGUCCUGGCCAGGAUCUGAUAUAGGUGGGCAGUGAGGCAGUUCUGACCCAAUGCUUUAUAUUAGUUUUUUAGAUUUUAAUCACAGCUCAGUGGUACUUCAUUUUCCCAGAGUUCAAAUAUUAGUCCAUGAGAAAACAGAAAGCUCUAAUAAGAAUCACUCUUUCCUUUGGAAAUGGGUCCAUACUGCCCUGGACUGAACUUCUUCCUUUGGAGAGAAAAACUCGUCUUCCAAACAUAUCUUGAACAUGUCAGAAUAGAAUGAACAUAGGUGUCUUGACAGUGGUGGCCCUGAUCCCUUAACAUUGAUGGGUUAAACCUAGUAAAUAAAAUUUGAAAAAUCCUUAUGAACAAUAACAAUCGUUAUUAAUGUUGCCAGAUUAUUUUUUUAAGUUUAUUUAUUUUGAGGAAGAGAGAGAGGGAGAGAGAGAAAAUCCCAAGCAGGGUCUUGCUGGCAGCCCAGAGCCUGAUGCAGGGCUCAAUCCCACGAACUGUGAGAUCAUGGGCUGAAAUCGAGGGUUGGUUGCUUAACUGAGCCACCCAGGCACCCCAAUGUUGCUAUAUUCUUAAUUUAAAAAUCUCUUUUUCACUCUCCUGAACUCUGAUCCAGUCCUCAUAUUCCAAAAUAUGCAACUUGUGGUAUUAUUUGUAAAGAUGUUCAUUGUAAACCCCAAUGGCUGAGCCACUUGAAUACCCUGUCAUUGCAAGGUAGGGAGGUAAUAGGCUCAUGAGAAAAAAUACACUUCUGCAAAAAGUUGGGGCACCACACUGCUAAAUUCUUUGGAACUCUGGCACCAUUAAAAUUCUGUAUUGCAUAUAUGAAAUUUGCUAAAAGAGUAAAUCUUAAAAGUUCUCAUCACAAGAAAAAAAUUUUGUACUUAUGUAUGGUAACAGAUGUUAACUACACUUAUUGUGAUAAGUGUACACAUAUAUGUGUACAAAUAACUGAAUUAUGUUGUAUACUUGAAGCUAAUAUGUUAUAUGUCAAUUAUACCUCAACAUAAUUUAAAAAAAAAUUUCUGGACAUUUAGUGAUUCAGAUGGAAUUGAAAGAAAAUUCAGUCAAAGCCUAGAGUAAAAUCAAGUGCCUAUUAGCCUGAGAGGAAUAAUUAAUAGGAAUUAAUGCAGAAGGGACCUAAACUAGGUGACCUUAUUUAUCUAUUUAUACAGCUAUAUGUUUUUAAAUAAGUAUAAAAAUAAUGUAAAAAAUAUAUGCAUGUAUAUAUAACAUUUAUUAUAUACGUGUGUGUGUGUGUGUGUGUGUGUGUGUAGGUGUGUGUAUAGGUAGUUGAUAGAUAGAUGCUUUGCUAGUUUUUAAAAUAGAGGGCAAAAUUCAGAAAAAAAAAAUACAUGGUAAUCCCAAAGUUAUGGGAAAACCUGACUGAGACAUUGGUUAUAAGAUAGACACUAGUACUCCCCUUUUAGCAAAAAGGUCAAUAGACAAAGCCCCUAGUUAAAAAGAGAUCCUGUAUGUAAAUUUUUCAGCAGAGACUGCUCACUUCCAACAUCUGUUCUUAUCCUCUUCCUGAAGUAUAAAACCUCUGAAUUUUAGCUAGGUGCAUGGCCUCCUAAAAUAGAUUACGUCUGCCAGCCUCAUUUGAGGCUAGUUGUGGCCUAAAAAUAUAAACAGAAAUGUCAUAUGUGAUUUCCAGAAAAUAAACUUUAAAAGAGAGGGUGAUUAAUACCAGAAUAUAUAAAAAACCCCUACAACUAACAACAACAAAAAAUAACCUGAUUUUAAAAAAAAUAGGCAAAGGACUAGAAUACACAUUUCUCCAAAGAAGAUAUACAAAUGGCCAAUGAGUACAUGAAAAGAUGUUUAACAUCACCAAUCAUUAGGGAAAUGUAAAUCAAAGCCACAGUAACAUACCAGAAUAUACCCUUUAGAAUGGCUAUUAUUUAAAAAACAAAAAUCCAGCAAAUAACAAGUGUUAGCAAGGAUGUGAAAAAUUGGAAACCUUGUGCAUCACUGAUGGGAAUGUAAUGUGGUGCAGCCACCAUGAAAAAUAGUAUGUCAAUUUCUCAAAAAAAAUUAGGUGUAGAAUCAUCAUAUGACCUAGCAAUUUCAAUUCCACUUCCAGAUUAUAUAUAAUAUAUAUAGUCUCAAAUAUAUAUAUAUAUAUAUGUGUAUAUAUGAUAUCAUAAUAUCUAUAACAUCAUAUAUAUAGUAAUAUAUAUCCCCCCAAAAAUUGAAAGCAGGGACUCAAACACAUUUGCACACACGUUUAUAGCAGCAUUAUUGACAAUAGAAAGAUUGAAGCACCCCAGUUGCUCAAUAGAUGAAUGGACAUGCUAAAUGAAAUAAGCCAGUCACAAAAGGACAGAUAUUGUAUGAUUCCACUUAUGUGAGGUACGUUAAAGUAGUCAAAUUCAUGGAGACAGAAAGCAAAAUAGAGGUUACCAAGGGCUGAGGGAAGAGGAGGAAGUGGAAUGUUCAUUGAUUAAUGGGUACAGACUUUCAGUUUGGGAACAUGAAAAAGUUAUGGUAGUGGAUGGUGGUGAUGGUUGGAGAACAAUGUGAUUGUACUUAUGCCACUGAACUGUUCACAUAAAAUGGUUAGAAUGAUAAAUUUUGUUAUGUAUGUUUUCUCACACACACACAAACAUGCAUACACAAAUGUGCGUGCGUGUCAAAGAUGUAAAAGGGAGGGCGUGUGCUUCUGUUCCUUUCUUUCUUUCUUCAGCUGGAAUGUAAACCUAGUGAGUGGGAAUUGAGCAGAUAUCCAGGAUUGUAAGUAGAAGCCACAGGUUGAAGUUGGUGGAGCAACAGGACGCGAGGGGUCUGGGUUUCAUCACCACAGAGCGGCCAUCCCAGUACCGGGCAACUCACUUUUAGAUUUUACAUGAGUGAGAAACGCUAUCUUGUUUGGGCCACUAGUAUUUAUCUACCACUCUUUGCUGAAUUUCAUCCUAUUUUAACCACUUAAUACUGAUUUGCUUUGCUCUAACUGAAUGCCCUUCAAAUUUUUGACCAGAAGGUUUGAUCUGUGCUUUACAUAGAAGCACACUAUUAUCCACUAUGACUGUGACCAACAUGAGCAAAUAAAUCCACCGGCAAUAAGUCAUAAAAACGAUGAUUAUCAUUCUCCUUCACAAAGAGGAGGUGCAAUAAACCAGCAAUGAAGUUCUGCGUACUCAGCCAGAAGAUCAAAGUCGUCGUGAGCCCAGGUAAAGCCUAACUGAAGGUUUACAUGUGGCACCUGGGGGACAGCCAAAAUAGAACAACAGGGGGAAUGAAUGGACCAUGCUAUCUCUGCCAUCAGUCAAACAGAAGAAUCCUUUUAGGAAUUUAGGAGGUGCACAAUUCAAAUUUUGCUCAAGGAACUAACAUAUGAAGUCUACGUGACCUUCAGUGAUGAUUUCAAAGACUUCAGUUUGAAACGUUAGCAGUAUACCACUUUUCUCAUGUGUUAUGUCUGGGGUCUUCCUAAAUAUUAAAAACCUCAAGUCUUGUCAAAAUAUUCUUGGAAAAUCUUUUGAAUUGUUGGUGAUGAACAGCACAAAACACUUGGUUUUGUAUGUAUAACCUGCAGAUGUUUUCAAACUUUCUACGAGUUGGUGUUUCUCUGUGACCCUCAUCUAAUGAUUUCAUACGUUUUUCCCCCCGGAUUUAAAGAUUCCAUCGUCUCCCACAUGGCUUGAGGAUCUUUGUAAAUGGACAGAAAACCCUUAAAAUCAUUCGCACAGUACUUUUCUUACGUCACACUAGUGCACGAGGCUGUGGCUCCACAAGGACAACUAAACACUUGAAAAAGAAGAGGAUUAACAUCAGUGAGACUGGAAAACCAAGAGGAACUUAAUGAUUAAAUCAAUAUCACUGUUUGAUCUUGGCCUCCGAUCAGCACAUACCUGCCAGUUGACCCCAUGGCAAUCACGAGGACAGCAUUUACUUUUGCCGUCACACCCAUAAAGCAUAGUCGUCGUCACACACAGACUGAGAGGUACUGCUCUGUCAAGAUGCUGCUUCCAUGGUGACACACGAUGUGACACUUUGUUUUAGCUGAGUUCUCCAUAGCAUUCACUGGUACUGCCACACCUUGAUCCAGUGCACGCAAAGCUGUUGCUCAGCCAGUGACUACAUCCUGGGCAUGCUUACGAAGUAUUAGAUGAAAAAUUUGAAAAGUCCCGUCUGUCCUUGGAAUGUAAUCUCUUAUGAAGCAGCCUGGAAAAAUGCUGAAGAGCAAAAGAGUACGUUUUAUUCUGAGUUCUUUUGAGGCUGAAGCUAACAUUUGAACUAUCUCCAAGAUUGUGAUCUCUGCAGAGAUAUUUAUUGCACCUUGAUGAAGAUGAAUGGUGUGACAAUAAAUAAGACGCUUCUCUCUCCUGCCUGGGUCUGCCCUUGAGACACAAGAACGUGUGGCACACAGCACCGUGGGAGCAUCAGGGAUCCGCAUCAUGCCCGGAACUGACAGAGUGCCCUGAGUAAUGGCGGCAACCUUCCAAAACACACUAGUGGGGCCUCCAUCUAUAGCCGUACCAGACAACAAUGACCCCUAACUCCACAAUACAUCUUGUUCAUCAUUCCUUAUAUUACCAAACAGAAUGGGAUUGGAAAUGCUGGUCAAAAGUAAUGAGGCACCUGGGAAACAGAAAGAAAGCUUGUCCUUCACAGCCCUGUCCACUGAAGUGGUUUCAGUACACAGACCCAUCUUUGUGUUUCCUCUGGAGUGCAGAAACCAUCAUGGUCCCCAGGAUCAAAGCCAUGCAUCGCAGAGCAACAACAUAGAAGGAACCUGGAUCUUUGAAGACUUUGUGCAACAGAGCUAUAUUACCAGGCCUAAAUUUGCUUAAGCAAAAGAAAAGUAAAUUUUAUCUUAUUUAAAGCACUAUUACUGAGGGUAUUCUAAAACACAUAGCCAUAUCUAGUACAAGCUAAUGCAAUAAAACAAAGUACUAUAGAUGUAGUACCUAUAGAUGAUAAAAUAUAGAUAAGGUCCAGCCCUUGCUCCCACGAUUCCUUCAAUCUACUAGGGAAAAUAACAUAUACAAAUGAAUAAAUGGGCUAUAAAUGUCAUACAAACUGAGUCUUAUAGGAUAUAGAAGAGAAAAAAAAAUAAUUUUAGGGUGUGAAAAAGGGUAACUUUACGGGCAAAAUAAUGUGAAAUUUGGGUCAAUAGCUGAUAUUAGAAAGGGAAAAAAUGGAAUGUUUUGGGAAUAGACUGAACUAACAGAAGCUCAAAGAAGGGCAUUUGAGAGAACCAAAGUGAUCUAGUUUGGCUAGAGAGACAUGAAAGACAAAGGAAAUCAAGACAAGUAGAUUAAGGCUGUUUACAGAAAAUAAUGCCAGGCUAACAAUUGUGCUUUUAGGGAAUAUAAUUCAUUUAAAUCUUGGGGCACCUGGAUGGCUCAGUUGGUUGAGCUCCCAAAUUUGAUUUUGGCUCAGGUCAUGAUCUCAUGGUUCAUGGGAUUGAGCCCUGCAUCAGGGUCUGGGCUGGCAGCAUGGACAAUGCUUGGGGUUCUCUCUCUCUCCUCUCUUUCUGCCCCUCCCCCCACUUGUGUGUGUGCACACAUGCUCUGCCUCUCUCAAAAAUAAAUAGGUAAACAUUUUUAAAAACUUAAAAAAUAAGAAAAAGAUUUAUUUAAAUCUUACAUUAGGAAAAUUCAUUUGGUUAUAAUGUCAGAGGAGGUCAGGACAGGAGCAGUGAAGAGAAGAAGACAGCACUCCUCUUCCUGCAAUUAGUAUGAUGGCAUCAAAAUGGAAAGACAAUGAUGGGUGGGCAAAAUGUUGGAAAGGAACCAUCUUUCAGACUUGGCAACUGAUUAUGAAAUGUGAAGAGAAGUAAAUUAAAAAGCCCAGAUUUUAAGCCAGGUGACAACUCAAGAUGUAGUCCAUUAACUGAAGAAAGGCAGUUAGAAGCAGGGAGCUGUUUGACGGAGCGGAUAUGGAAAGUACUGUUGGAGUCAUUAUGUAUUUGAGGUGCUGGAAGGAGGGCAUAUCCAUUAACCAUUGGAAAUAUGGACUUUAAAACAGGAGAAAAUUUCAGGCUAAAGAUACUGACUUACUAGUUUUAAUCUGAAAGAAUCUUUGUUAUGAAAAGCACAGUGAAAAAGGUUGAUGUUGAUGGGUCCCAGCUGGCAGAGACUUGGACAGACUUUCAGUGUCUGGGGACACUACUCUCUCUUCUACCUUUGGUGAACAGCUGUAGUAGGUCACCAUGCAGCCCUGAGGAAGGGAAGA